rnacentral:rRNA from 1 species
UACGUAGGGUGCAAGCGUUGUCCGGAAUUAUUGGGCGUAAAGAGCUCGUAGGCGGUCUGUUGCGUCGGCUGUGAAAACCCGAGGCUCAACCUCGGGCCUGCAGCCGAUACGGGCAGACUAGAGUUCGGCAGGGGAGACUGGAAUUCCUGGUGUAGCGGUGAAAUGCGCAGAUAGUCAGGGAGGAACACCCGGUGGCGAAGGCGGGUCUCUGGGCCGGAUACUGACGC